AUUGAACGCUGGCGGCAUGCCUUACACAUGCAAGUCGAACGGCAGCACGGAGCUUGCUCUGGUGGCGAGUGGCGAACGGGUGAGUAAUAUAUCGGAACGUACCCUAGAGUGGGGGAUAACGUAGCGAAAGUUACGCUAAUACCGCAUACGAUCUAAGGAUGAAAGUGGGGGAUCGCAAGACCUCAUGCUCGUGGAGCGGCCGAUAUCUGAUUAGCUAGUUGGUAGGGUAAAAGCCUACCAAGGCAUCGAUCAGUAGCUGGUCUGAGAGGACGACCAGCCACACUGGAACUGAGACACGGUCCAGACUCCUACGGGAGGCAGCAGUGGGGAAUUUUGGACAAUGGGCGAAAGCCUGAUCCAGCAAUGCCGCGUGAGUGAAGAAGGCCUUCGGGUUGUAAAGCUCUUUUGUCAGGGAAGAAACGGUGAGAGCUAAUAUCUCUUGCUAAUGACGGUACCUGAAGAAUAAGCACCGGCUAACUACGUGCCAGCAGCCGCGGUAAUACGUAGGGUGCAAGCGUUAAUCGGAAUUACUGGGCGUAAAGCGUGCGCAGGCGGUUUUGUAAGUCUGAUGUGAAAUCCCCGGGCUCAACCUGGGAAUUGCAUUGGAGACUGCAAGGCUAGAAUCUGGCAGAGGGGGGUAGAAUUCCACGUGUAGCAGUGAAAUGCGUAGAUAUGUGGAGGAACACCGAUGGCGAAGGCAGCCCCCUGGGUCAAGAUUGACGCUCAUGCACGAAAGCGUGGGGAGCAAACAGGAUUAGAUACCCUGGUAGUCCACGCCCUAAACGAUGUCUACUAGUUGUCGGGUCUUAAUUGACUUGGUAACGCAGCUAACGCGUGAAGUAGACCGCCUGGGGAGUACGGCCGCAAGAUUAAAACUCAAAGGAAUUGACGGGGACCCGCACAAGCGGUGGAUGAUGUGGAUUAAUUCGAUGCAACGCGAAAAACCUUACCUACCCUUGACAUGGCUGGAAUCCUUGAGAGAUCAGGGAGUGCUCGAAAGAGAGCCAGUACACAGGUGCUGCAUGGCUGUCGUCAGCUCGUGUCGUGAGGUGUUGGGUUAAGUCCCGCAACGAGCGCAACCCUUGUCAUUAGUUGCUACGAAAGGGCACUCUAAUGAGACUGCCGGUGACAAACCGGGGGAAGGUGGGGAUGACGUCAAGUCCUCAUGGCCCUUAUGGGUAGGGCUUCACACGUCAUACAAUGGUACAUACAGAGCGCCGCCAACCCGCGAGGGGGAGCUAAUCGCAGAAAGUGUAUCGUAGUCCGGAUUGUAGUCUGCAACUCGACUGCAUGAAGUUGGAAUCGCUAGUAAUCGCGGAUCAGCAUGUCGCGGUGAAUACGUUCCCGGGUCU
rnacentral:rRNA from 1 species